AACACCUGUGGGGCAUUCCUUUUUGAACAGUACCCCUUCCCUUGAUGUCUGCAAUAUCACCUUUCUUAUAGAUUAGCAUAUAUGUGGCCAAAGGAACAACUCCAUGUUUUUGUAAAGGCCUAGAGAACAUAUAUCCAGUGCCUUUCCUUUUUGCCUUUGUAUUCAUCAUUUUGGCAAAUUACUGGAAGAUGACGGUUCUGGCCAAAAGGCUGGUUUUGUUUUUGGGUCACAUUUUCUUGCUUCUCUGCGUUAGAAUCUUGGAUUAGAUGAUGGACAUGGUGAAGAUGGAAAAUAUGAGGUGCAGAGAAGUGAUGGAAAAAAGAGAAGAUCAGGAUUUCAGUUUUUUUCUGCAUUUCUCAUCAUCCCAUGAAGUCUCUUGAUAACAUAAGCCAAGUUUUCAUAUACCUUGACGUGUGUGAUACUUACGUGGUGCCAAGAACAAGAUGCAUACUCAAUAAAUAUUCAUCACUAUAGGCAAAAGCGGGCACAGAUGGAAAAUAAAAUUAUUUGAAGGAGACAAAAUCCUACUAGAGAGAAGGGGCCUGCUUCAAGCACAUAACUGGAUUCUACCUCAAGACAAUCUGCCACAUUUGAAGCUUGGAAUCUUCAAAGAGCAGAAUAGAAUGUGCUGUACUCUUUCAGGACUAAAGAGACAAAGACUUCUAGGGUCUCAAUCGACAGCCUUGGAGGAACAUGUCUAAGGAAUAGGGGUGAACCAGAGAAGACCUAGCUUACUGAAAUUACAAUGUGGUCCCAAUCCAGCUAAACCCCUGGUUGGAUUGAGGUAAUCAAUCUCUCACCCUAUCUACAGAAGAAAAGAGAAACUCAUGGUGGAGUAAGAUGCCAUCUGGAGCCUCUAUGAUUCAUUUAUAUAUAUCCUACAGAAUACAGUCAAAAUUGCUAGAUAUGCAAAAACACAGGAAAAGGUGAUUUAAAAAUCAAAACAGAAAAUAGAAGUAGACACAUCAUGUUGGAUUUAGCAGACAAUGAUUUGAAACUAACCAUGAUUGAUAUGUCAAAAAUGUAUGAAAGUUGAUAAAAAAGAAUAAGAUGUGUGUUAAAA
rnacentral:lncRNA from 10 species